GGUCCCUGGGGAUGCCCACCCCAACGUCCCCCAAGGAACCACGAGCGCCCAGGACCCUGGGCUGCGUGCAGCCUCAGAGGGUGUUUGUCAGACACACCGCACAGGUCUGAGCCUCACCCUCCGCUCCUGGCUCCCCAACAGCUGUCAGCUGCCUGGAACCAGAUCACGGUGAGGUGCCUGCACCAGGGGCCGGCAGUGCUGGGAGGCCUGCUGCCCAGAGCCGCAGCCACUGCUGGUGGAAGGUGGCCUGCACACCGACCCUGGGAGGGUCUCAGCUGGUUUCUCCAAAGAGCCCCAUGUCCCCAGGAUGCGCUCUGUUACCUCACGGCCGAGCUGCGCCGAGGCCCUGGAGCCCGGGACGCGGCCAUCUGGAGAGGUGUCUCGCUGAGCAGCAGCAUGGGACUGCCACAGCGGCUACCCCCUGCAGAGGGCCAGGCAACUGCUGGACUACUGCUAACUACUGAACGGUGCUUAACGACCACUGACCACUGGCUGGAAGGCCAACCAGAGAGCCCAGGGGAGCCGUCAGCGGCUAGGGGCCAAGAAGGGGCAGCCACUGCAAUCCCGCCCAGCGACAGAGGAAAAACCCCGGGAGGGUCUGCAGGCCCCACUGCCGGCUCAAGUCAGUCGUCUCCAGGCCGGGUGGAAAGAGAGGCCAGGUCUAAUGAUUUUUGGCUGAAUACUGCACAUUCUGUAAAGACUCUGGAUUCUGUUGUCUUCCUCUGA
rnacentral:lncRNA from 1 species